GAUGAACGCUGGCGGCGUGCCUAAUACAUGCAAGUCGAGCGAACAGACGAGGAGCUUGCUCCUCUGACGUUAGCGGCGGACGGGUGAGUAACACGUGGAUAACCUACCUAUAAGACUGGGAUAACUUCGGGAAACCGGAGCUAAUACCGGAUAAUAUAUUGAACCGCAUGGUUCAAUAGUGAAAGACGGUUUUGCUGUCACUUAUAGAUGGAUCCGCGCCGCAUUAGCUAGUUGGCAAGGUAACGGCUUACCAAGGCAACGAUGCGUAGCCGACCUGAGAGGGUGAUCGGCCACACUGGAACGGAAACACGGUCCAUACUCCUACGGGAGGCAGCAGUAGGGAAUCUUCCGCAAUGGGCGAAAGCCUGACGGAGCAACGCCGCGUGAGUGAUGAAGGUCUUCGGAUCGUAAAACUCUGUUAUUAGGGAAGAACAAAUGUGUAAGUAACUAUGCACGUCUUGACGGUACCUAAUCAGAAAGCCACGGCUAACUACGUG
rnacentral:rRNA from 1 species